rnacentral:rRNA from 1 species
GACGAACGCUGGCGGCGUGCCUAAUACAUGCAAGUCGAACGCUGAAGAGAGGAGCUUGCUCUUCUUGGCUGAGUUGCGAACGGGUGAGUAACGCGUAGGUAACCUGCCUUGUAGCGGGGGAUAACUAUUGGAAACGAUAGCUAAUACCGCAUAACAAUGGAUGACACAUGUCAUUUAUUUGAAAGGGGCAAUUGCUCCACUACAAGAUGGACCUGCGUUGUAUUAGCUAGUAGGUGAGGUAAUGGCUCACCUAGGCGACGAUACAUAGCCGACCUGAGAGGGUGAUCGGCCACACUGGGACUGAGACACGGCCCAGACUCCUACGGGAGGCAGCAGUAGGGAAUCUUCGGCAAUGGGGGCAACCCUGACCGAGCAACGCCGCGUGAGUGAAGAAGGUUGUCGGAUCGUAAAGCUCGGUUGUAAGUAAAGAACGGGUGUGAGAGUGGAAAGUUCACACUGUGACGGUAGCUUACCAGAAAGGGACGGCUAACUACGUG